CCUCGGCCUUUGAAACGUUUUAUCGCUUCGAACGUUCUAGCUGGUAUUCGUUAUCGGUUUUUGCGCCGCGAAACUCGAUUUCUCGCGUCCGAUGGAUGCGAAAACCGGACCGGGAACGAAUUUCCCAUGGAAAAGUUUACGGCAAAUCGAUUUCGGUCUACGCCGCUAACAGCGUUAACUCGAGACUGGGGUAGGAUAGCAGAAUCGAGGGUCCGGCAAAUAUGCUAAUGCGUUUUAGCUCGAGUGCGGUGUUUCGCGAUGGCGAGGGUCCUUCCGCGAGGGUAGGACGAGCACGAUGAGAGAAAAGGAGGGAUCGAGUUCGGUGAAAAAUUGCUGCGGAACUACGUGGAUCCAGAUCUUGAAAAUAGUCCUGUACCCGUCAGGGUACACGGUCGACGCGUUCGCCGUCGAGAUUUAUUUCGGCAACGAUCCUCGUAACGAUCGCGGCAGAAGUUUAUCGGAUCGCAUCGUUCGAGACAACUCGUUGGACGACCAACGGAAAUCGUUAUUUCCAUCGAACAAUUUCUUAAGAACGAUUAACGACCAAAGUAAUCCUGCAGUUGCAGUUGCAGUCGCAGUUUUAAAAAGUGGCGUUAAACGCGCGUUCGUCGACUACCGCGGAACCUAGAAAAAACGGAUGAUCGAGUCGUGGAAAAGUGCUAAAAGUGCUCGCGGAGAUCGAAAGCGAGAGAACACGGCAGAGGAAAAACUGUGUUGCAAAGAGGGGGGAGGGCAUAAACGAAGUUCGACGAAUGUCAAGAAAAGAAGCGAAGCGAACGGGUACGAGUACGAGAGAGGAAGAGACGGAGAUGGAGACGGAGAUCGAGGAUCCCGUGAUCCAGGGUGAGAUAGGUGUAGAGUAUUCGCGCAACGGCUCCGCGGAAAUCAAUACUCGCGACGCCGAGGCCGAGGCCGAGGCUCGGGCCGAAGCCGAGGCUGUGGCUGAGGCUGCCGAGAGCGGAGAGCCGAGGGCCGAGGGCCGAGGCUCGAGACGCGGCGUAACAACCCCGUGUCGCGCCGCGUCGCGACGGUGGCGAGCGAAAAAGGUCCUGGGGUUGUCGCGAGGAGAGGGUCCACCGUGAAAUCUCAAAAGAUUAAAUGGAACGCGUACGAGUCGCGAAGCCACACCAGUCAGCCAAAUUUGCUACGACCAAGUACAUGUAAAAAGCUUGGUAGUGUACUUUGCGAGCAAAUUUAUGUCAAUUUUUGUGCAAAAAUACUGCUUUUGGUUCGCAUUUUAUAUGUAUUUCGCUAAAGCCAAAUUCCUGGCAUAAUACGGAAACAGAUGUUCGAUAUUUGGAAGCAGACGCUUCGCGUUGUCGAAUCAAUGGCAAAGUUGGCGCAAUCUUGUAGCGAAACGUUUUAUGCGAAUGGUCGAUAGCACGCUUGCUUCGCGAUUCCACGCGUCGUUCUUGCGCCGGAGCCUCGCCAAUCUGCUCCGCGUCGUUCCAAUUUUCGCGUAUCCACCGCCGAAGCGAGCGUUAACAUUUUACCAGUUAAAAGAGGUUUAAAAGAGCCUUAAAUUCGCCGUAGCGAAUUUUAUCCUUCUUCGCGACAACUGCUUCGAGUUGGACUCGUUACGAAGAUACGGAACGUAAUUCGUCCCGAAAGGGCUAAAGGAAGAAAACUAUUCCGACGCUUCGCGUUCGCAAACGACGCGAAGAAUUUUUAUUUUGCGCAACGACGCGCAACCUUGCGUAAAUUUGUCGAACGCGUCGCAACCGUUUCCACUCGAGUCUCGAUGAAAUUUCUGCGAGAAGUUUUCCAGGACGCCGAUCCAACGCGUCGGAGAAGUUGGCGCAUGUUGGCUGACAUCGUUCUUUAGGCAAGGAGUGGGGGCAGAUGGGAGUCCCGCACAGCGGCGUGGGGCGUCUACCAGGCGAACAUUACAAUUCUGAACUACGAUCAGACAGAGGCUUUACAUUGCGAACCAAGGUUCAGAGAAUUACAAUGUUCACCAGGCAAUUAUUGUAUACAAAAUGAAGACGUACAAAAUAUAUUUUAGAAUCCUCGUUUCUUGUGUUUAAUCAUAGGUACCGCAUUAAGGUCAGCCCAUUCAAGAAAAAUAUGUUUUAUCUGAAUUGCACAUUGAAUCAUAGAAAGGCAAUCUCCUUCAGCAGUGUGCGCAUUUGGAGAAUCGGUACCAAAGAAAUGUUUAUAGAUAGUUCUUAAUUUAAAAUUACUUGGUUUACUAUUUUUUAAAUGUAAUGUUUCCCUUCCUCCAUUAGAGCCUCUAUUCGUCGAUUUUAUAUUAGGUUGUUUAAUAAUACUUCUUUCGGGUCUUCUCUUGUUAAUUUCCCAUUCUUCUUCGUAGUAGUAAUCGAUUCGAGGAGAAUUGGAACAGGCAUCGCCUUCUUCGUUGUCACGCAUGACAGUGUCUAAUGCAUCCGAUAACAUUUCAUUACAACCAUCGUUUAACAAAAUAUCAACAUCUUCAGAAAUACAAGUAGCACCGCUUUUAAUACUACUAAAAUAAUCUUUAAUUAAAAGCAUCAUGUCAAUGCUACAAAUUGCUUUAUCGACAUUCUGUAAUAACAAAAACAAAUUAUAUAAAUACAAGCACAUAAAAAUAAUUAAAAGAUAUUAGACAGAUAAAUGGUAGUAUUAAUAUUAUUAACUGUUUUUUACCACAUUAAUAUUUCCAAGUUCCCAUAAUAAUAUAGGGUAAUCGAAUCCGUCCCCAUUGUACGCGACGAAACAAAUUGGUGGUGUAAGUCGAUUUAUGAAACUUACGAUUAAAUCAUAUGUAUCGCGAGUAAAAGAUCCAACGUCGUUUACGCUUUCAUUCGAUAAGCCUAAAAUAGAAUAAUUGUGAUUAUUAAUAAUUAAGCGAACGAUAAAUUAGUUAAUAAAAUCAGCAGAAAUUAAAGUAUAGCUUAAAAGUUCUUAAUAAUAGUACCGUGCGGUAGUUAGAACAGAACAAUGAAACUUUUUCAAGCGAUUGCAAUGGCUACGUUAUAAAAAGUAGGACCUAACAAGAUUACAUGUUGCAAGAAGCAUCGGUAUCCAUUAAACUAAUGGAUAACGAUAUACUUCUCAAACGUAUGUUCGCGUUAUAACAGCUUGUAGUAAUUUCCAUUAACCGUCUCGAAUGUUUUUCUUCGUAAAAUAUAGGGGAAUUCUUACAUAAUUAUUGUAAUAUGACAAAUAAAAAGUCUAACAACA